ACCUCAUGCCGAGCCCCUCCGC
rnacentral:miRNA from 1 species